AUAUAUGCUCGGCCUUUUGGCUAAGAUCAAAGGGUAGUAUCUGUUCUUAUCAGCUUAACGUCUGAUACGGUCACUAUUUGGGAUCAGCGAUAUUAAACUGAUUUUUAGAAGGAGACGAAGUGUUAGGGCUUGCUCCGCAUUUGCGACGGGUUGGCCUGGUAUUGCAGUGCUUCCAGGGUUCAGUCCAUCUUUA
rfam:Octopus bimaculoides Scaffold145994_contig_1, whole genome shotgun sequence.